rnacentral:rRNA from 1 species
CCUACGGGCGGCAGCAGUGGGGAAUAUUGGACAAUGGGCGAAAGCCUGAUCCAGCCAUGCCGCGUGUGUGAAGAAGGCCUUCGGGUUGUAAAGCACUUUCAGUGGGGAAGAAAGCCUUGGGGCUAAUACCCUCGAGGAAGGACAUCACCCACAGAAGAAGCACCGGCUAACUCCGUGCCAGCAGCCGCGGUAAUACGGAGGGUGCGAGCGUUAAUCGGAAUUACUGGGCGUAAAGCGCGCGUAGGCGGUCUGAUAAGCCGGUUGUGAAAGCCCCGGGCUCAACCUGGGAACGGCAUCCGGAACUGUCAGGCUAGAGUGCAGGAGAGGAAGGUAGAAUUCCCGGUGUAGCGGUGAAAUGCGUAGAGAUAGGGAGGAAUACCAGUGGCGAAGGCGGCCUUCUGGACUGACACUGACGCUGAGGUGCGAAAGCGUGGGUAGCGAACAGGAUUAGAUACCCUAGUAGUC